CCUACGGGAGGCUGCAGUGAGGAAUAUUGGUCAAUGGACGAGAGUCUGAACCAGCCAAGUAGCGUGAAGGAUGACUGCCCUAUGGGUUGUAAACUUCUUUUAUAUGGGAAUAAAACGUUCCACGUGUGGGAUUUUGUAUGUACCAUAUGAAUAAGGAUCGGCUAACUCCGUGCCAGCAGCCGCGGUAAUACGGAGGAUCCGAGCGUUAUCCGGAUUUAUUGGGUUUAAAGGGAGCGUAGGUGGAUUGUUAAGUCAGUUGUGAAAGUUUGCGGCUCAACCGUAAAAUUGCAGUUGAAACUGGCAGUCUUGAGUACAGAAGAGGUGGGCGGAAUUCGUGGUGUAGCGGUGAAAUGCUUAGAUAUCACGAAGAACUCCGAUUGCGAAGGCAGUUCACUGGACUGCAACUGACACUGAGGCUCGAAAGUGUGGGUAUCAAACAGGAUUAGAUACCCCUGUAGUC
rnacentral:rRNA from 1 species